rnacentral:rRNA from 1 species
UGAACCUUGGGCCUGGCUGGCCGGUCCGCCUCACCGCGUGCACUGGUCCGGCCGGGCCUUUCCCUCUGGGGAACCGCAUGCCCUUCACUGGGUGUGUCGGGGAACCAGGACUUUUACUUUGAACAAAUUAGAUCGCUUAAAGAAGGCCUAUGCUCGAAUAUAUUAGCAUGGAAUAAUAGAAUAGGACGUGUGGUUCUAUUUUGUUGGUUUCUAGGACCGCCGUAAUGAUUAAUAGGGACAGUCGGGGGCAUCAGUAUUCAAUUGUCAGAGGUGAAAUUCUUGGAUUUAUUGAAGACUAACUACUGCGAAAGCAUUUGCCAAGGAUGUUUUCAUUAAUCAGGAACGAAAGUUAGGGGAUCGAAGACGAUCAGAUACCGUCGUAGUCUUAACCAUAAACUAUGCCGACUAGGGAUCGGACGAUGUUAUAUUUUGACUCGUUCGGCACCUUACACGAAAGUAAAGUUUCUGGGUUCUGGGGGGAGUAUGGUCGCAAGGCUGAAACUUAAAGG